rnacentral:rRNA from 1 species
AGAGUUUGAUCCUGGCUCAGGACAAACGCUAACGGUGCGCCUAAUACAUGCAAGUCGAACGAGCGAUGUAGAAGUGGCAACACUUUUACAAAGCAAGUGGCGAACGGGUGAGUAACGCGUAGGUAAUCUGCCUUGGAGAUUGGGACAACCAUUCGAAAGAAUGGCUAAUACCAAAUACCUUAUAUUAAUCGCAUGAUUUUUAUAAUAAAGGGGGCUUUUAGCUCUCGCUUCAAGAUGAACCUGCGUCCUAUUAGCUUGUUGGUGAGGUAGAAGCUCACCAAGGCAACGAUGGGUAGCCGGCCUGAGAGGGUGAUCGGCCACACUGGGACUGAGAUACGGCCCAGACUCCUACGGGAGGCAGCAGUAGGGAAUCUUGCGCAAUGGGCGAAAGCCUGACGCAGCGACACCGUGUGAAGGAUGAAGGUCUUCGGAUCGUAAACUUCUGUCAAUUGGGGACGAAGGUAGUAGGGUUAAUACCCCGAAUAACUGACGGUACCCAAUAAGGAAGUCUCGGCUAACUCCGUGCCAGCAGCCGCGGUAAGACGGAGGAGGCAAGCGUUGUCCGGAAUCAUUGGGCGUAAAGAGCGCGUAGGCUGUUUUUUAAGUCAUAUGUGAAAACCUCAGGCUUAACUUGAGGACUGCAUGUGAAACUGGAAAACUUGAGUGCAGUAGGGGAAAGUGGAAUUCCUGGUGUAGCGGUGAAAUGCGCAGAUAUCAGGAAGAACACCGGUAGCGAAGGCGGCUUUCUGGGCUGCUACUGACGCUGAGGCGCGAAAGCUAGGGGAGCAAACAGGAUUAGAUACCCUGGUAGUCCUAGCUGUAAACGAUGGACACUAGGUGUGGGGAGUUAUCGACGCUUUCCGUGCCGGAGCUAACGCAUUAAGU